rnacentral:rRNA from 1 species
GGGCACCACCAGGAGUGGAGCCUGCGGCUUAAUUUGACUCAACACGGGAAAACUCACCCGGCCCGGACACUAGGAGGAUUGACAGACUGCCUAGCUCUUUCUUGAUUCAGUGGGUGGUGGUGCAUGGCCGUUCUUAGUUGGUGGAGCGAUUUGUCUGGUUAAUUCCGAUAACGAACGAGACUCUAGCCUACUAGUUAGCCGGCCCGGUCGUUAUGCGCCCGGGCAGCGAGCUUCUUAGAGGGACAGACGGCGAGUAAGCCGUACGAGAUAGAACAAUAACAGGUCUGUGAUGCCCUUAGAUGUCCGGGGCUGCACGCGCGCUACACUGGAGGAAUCAGCGUGCUUGACCCAUUGCCGAAAGGCAUUGGUAAACCCUUGAAAAUCCUCCGUGAUCGGGAUCGGGAAUUGCAAUUAUUUCCCUUGAACGAGGAAUUCCCAGUAAGUGUGAGUCAUCAGCUCACGUUGAUUACGUCCCUGCCCUUUGUACACACCGCCCGUCGCUGCCCGGGACUGAGCCGU